rnacentral:rRNA from 1 species
UACGUAGGUUGCGAGCGUUGUCCGGAUUUACUGGGCGUAAAGGGCGUGCAGGCGGUUUGUUAAGUGCAGGGUGAAAGCUCCCGGCUCAACUGGGAGAGGUCCUUGCAUACUGGCGAACUCGAGGGAGGCAGAGGAAAGUGGAAUUCCCGGUGUAGUGGUGAUAUGCGCAGAUAUCAGGAAGAACACCCGUGGCGAAGGCGGCUCUCUGGGACGGUACUGACGCUGAGACGCGAAAGCGUGGGGAGCGAACAGG